GACGAACGCUGGCGGCGUGCUUAACACAUGCAAGUCGAACGGAAAGGCCCUGCUUUUGUGGGGUGCUCGAGUGGCGAACGGGUGAGUAACACGUGAGUAACCUGCCCUUGACUUUGGGAUAACUUCAGGAAACUGGGGCUAAUACCGGAUAGGAGCUCCUGCUGCAUGGUGGGGGUUGGAAAGUUUCGGCGGUUGGGGAUGGACUCGCGGCUUAUCAGCUUGUUGGUGGGGUAGUGGCUUACCAAGGCUUUGACGGGUAGCCGGCCUGAGAGGGUGACCGGCCACAUUGGGACUGAGAUACGGCCCAGACUCCUACGGGAGGCAGCAGUGGGGAAUAUUGCACAAUGGGCGGAAGCCUGAUGCAGCAACGCCGCGUGCGGGAUGACGGCCUUCGGGUUGUAAACCGCUUUCGCCUGUGACGAAGCGUGAGUGACGUUAAUUGGUAAAGAAGCACCGGCUAACUACGUG
rnacentral:rRNA from 1 species